AUUGAACGCUGGCGGCAGGCCUAACACAUGCAAGUCGGACGGUAGCACAGAGGAGCUUGCUCCUCGGGUGACGAGUGGCGGACGGGUGAGUAAUGUCUGGGGAUCUGCCCGAUAGAGGGGGAUAACCACUGGAAACGGUGGCUAGUACAGCAUAACGUCGCAAGACCAAAGAGGGGGACCUUCGGGCCUCUCACUCUCGGAUGAACCCAGAUGGGAUUAGCUAGUAGGCGGGGUAAUGGCCCACCUAGGCGACGGGCCCUAGCUGGUCUGAGAGGAUGACCAGCCACACUGGAACUGAGACACGGUCCAGACUCCUACGGGAGGCAGCAGUGGGGAAUAUUGCACAAUGGGCGCAAGCCUGAUGCAGCCAUGCCGCGUGUAUGAAGAAGGCCUUCGGGUUGUAAAGUACUUUCAGCGGGGAGGAAGGCGGUGAGGUUAAUAACCUCGCCGAUUGACGUUACCCGCAGAAGAAGCACCGGCUAACUCCGUGCCAGCCGCCGCAGUAAAAC
rnacentral:rRNA from 1 species